UUUUGAGAUCACUUAAAAGGCAAUUGUUAAGAGAACCAAUAGCAGUACCUUUGUAAUCUGAAUCGCUCCUGCCACGAUCUAUCCAAUGGAGAAAACCAUUUAGGAACAAACCAGAUAUAUCAUAAGAAUGAUCACAAGGGGAAUCUUGAAUCUAUUACAAUUUAUAAGAACUAGUCUUCAGUGAGUAAACACAGAUGACACUACAUCAAAA
rnacentral:misc_RNA from 1 species